rnacentral:lncRNA from 1 species
UCUUUUACUGGUAUGGAAAUUGGGUGAACUAUAGGUACUUACUGAACUACUCGUAUAGGGUGCUGUUACUGAUAAUACGCCUCCGCCUUUUACUUGCUGGGUUGAGUGGGAGGCUCUCACACACUCCUAUGUAUGGAUUUCAAGUUCGAUCUUCCCCACCCAGUAUAGAAAACCCCUAACCAUCUUGGGGCGCUCUUGCGCCCUUAAUAGUAAAGGGGGGCCUGAGGUUCUGGAUAUAAAAUUGAGCAACUUGACGUAANAGUUGAAGACAAAAUACAAAAUGUACAAUAAGUUGGAGGACCUCAGCCUCUAUUUUCUUGUUCGUAUUUCACAUGCCAGAAGUUUGAUCAUGACGCGCUUUAAGGAGCUGGAAAACCGAGUUUUUGACCCCACUAAUUAAUAAUAUGACAUGACAUUAAUCCAAUUUGUUUAGCUUUGAAUUUGUUGAAUCACUUCUUAUUAAAUAAGUUAUUAUUUAAUUAGAGAAGAAAUUAUUAGGGUGCGAGUGUAGGAUGACACAUUACCAUUUAAUUAUAGAGAACGAUGCUUAUAUGGAAGGGGUAAUUUGUUGACUUAUUGGCACAAAACGUUUCUAUAUUUAAAUUUUAGUAUGGAAAAUGUUCUUACAUUUCAAAUUUUUGCAUUUUUAUCUUAUUUUCACGUUUUAUUGUGAAAAAUGUCAUUUUCAUCUAUUUUUUUAAUAAAAAUAUAUUAAAUUAUGAAUAUACCUCCAUAUAUAAAUAAAAGAAAAAAGUUCUCUGCAUAGGCUCGUUUGCACAAAGUCUGUACAAGGGCACACAUAUGGGAGUGCAAAUGGGCUUGUGCAGUAGCACAAUUGUAAAUAAAACAUAAAGAAAAGCAAAGAACUAAUUGCAACAUACUUCCAAACCUUUUUAAAAAGUGCAAGUGAAUUUCAUAUAAAUUACGAAAAAUAAAAAAAAUUUCUCUCUCCCCCCUCCACCACCAUAAACAAUAAACAAUUUCAACAAUAUACUCUAAAUCGAUAAGCCUAACAAUCUGAAUUGAUACUACAAUAUACUCCAAAACAAUAAACAAUUUCCAAAAAUCGAAGUACCAAAAAAUCUCAGACAUUAUAGUUUCAAUGUACCCUGAACUUCUUAGUAUCGAUUCGAUCGUCAUCAUAUCUUUUUCGCAGUUUCAUUUGUUUUCAUAUUUGUAUUUUUGGUUUCUUCUACAUGCCAUUGUUUUUUUCUUUUUUCUUUUUUUUUUGUCCGAAGCAUAAAAUUGAAGCCAUUUAAAUAAUAUACUUGCCAUAUUCUAGUGUGGUGGAGAGACGAAUUCCAAAUCAAGAAAAAGAGAAACUACUGAAGAACUUGCACUGAGAUUUGAUUGUUGAGACAAAAGCCUUUAAUCCUGGUAAUUUGUACGUGUGUGGCUAAUGCCGGGGACGGGAAGCGCACAACUGCCAUUCUAAUGGGUCCUUGGUUUGUUUGCCAAGUUUACAACCCUCAAGCAAAUUGACAAUAUUACUCUUUGCCACGUGUUUUGUGAUGACACCUAGUCUCCUAUAAUCCAAACCCAAAGAUGGGGUUUGAAGAAAUGGAUCCUGCCCCAGACCCACACUUGUCUCUUCAGUUUCAAUGGAGAAAAAUUGAGAUGAAUACAUGAUGGUUGAUGCGAGACCUUGGUUUUGAUGCACCAUUUGAAUUGGAUGAAUAGAUUUCAUCGAACCUUGGCUCAUUAGAUUCAUCUUUUUUCAAAUUUUGGAUUGUCAAUUUUGAAGAGUUAGGGCUCAAUUUUUGAGGUAGCAGAUUGUGAUUGAGAACCUAUUUUGAUAUUAUAAGACCAUGAAUGGGAGCGCCUUGGGGGAGUAGAUGUUACGAUUGGUGUCUAAUGGCAUGGGUGUUGUCGGAAAGAGUCUUGUUGUCUUGGUUUUGAUCUAUGAGAGGAGGGUUUUGGGCAGCGACGAGGAUGGUUUGUUGUGAUAUCUGGUUGGACAGGUGGCGAGAUGUGAUAGCUAGAUGGAGGUGUAUUCGGUGGUGGCGAUGACCGGAAGUCUAUGCGAUGGUAGGGUGGAGUUUGGGUUGAUUAAAGGUGGUGGCUCCAUUGAGUCGCCAAGUCACUAAUGUUUGGAUUUGUUUUUUUUCAGCUAAAAGGGAAAGGAGGAGAAAGUUAUUUUUUAAAAUAAUUUAUUAGGGACUCGUUUGCACUUUUUUUUUAUUAAAUUGGGAGUAUGGAUGCAAUUAGUUCUUUAUUUUUCUUUCUAUUUUAUUUAAAUAGGAGGGUAUAUUCAUCAUUUCACAUAUUUUUAUUGAGAAAUUAAAUAAAAUUUGAUGAAAAUGAAACGUUUUACACAAUGAAAUGUAGAAAUAGGGAGUGAAAAUACAAAAAAUUGAAAUGUAGGGACGUUUUUAUGCUAAUUAGCCAUGAUUUGUUGGUAUAACCUAUUUUUUGGUAGUGGAUCGAAGUUGUCUAUUACAAUGCUUCUUUUGAAGUGUCAUUGAUGUACGUUAAGGCGAUGAUCAGUUUUUCAUGUUCUACCCCUUAAAUAAUAUUUUAAGCGUCUAUUACGUGAAUUAGCCUUAAUUUGUAUGUAAAGUCACGAUCAGUUUGUCAGCUUAGCUAUCCUAUUGAAUUUCAUCUAUCAAACUUCAUUUGCAUUGACUCGUUUUAUAGUGAUUUAUGAUUGUUUGAAUAUAGAAUCACGGCGAGCUUAUUUUGGAUGGUACUCUACGUUCUCUGGUUGGUUGGUCUUAUUUCCUCUUGUUAUCGUGAUUAAAUGGUUAAGAAUUUAGUUGUUGGAGGUGAUGUAUCAUCCUAAUCUAUUUUAUCUAUAUACGUUAUGAAUAUGGACUAGUGUUAUAUUGACAAUUGAAAUGAUCGGUGUUGCUUGCAUCGAAACAAGAAAAUAAAGCCAAUUACAUACCUUUCUUGUGUCCUAGUGUUGUGUAGUUAUGUUAAAACUGAGGGGCACCAGAUCAAAAAUUAUUAGAAAAAAGUUAAUAUUUUAUUUCGUUAUUUUGAGUACGACAACUAUUGUGUUACGAAUAUUUUCAGAAAAAAUAUAUGAAAUUUAUUGCUUUUUGCGUGUUUGAACAUGAGUUGUACGAUUGCGGAUCAACGGCUUUACUUACCAGAAAUUUAGAAAAUGUGGGACCAAUUUUCAAUCAAAUAACAUGAUGAAACGCGCUCUCGCCGAUGCGCCAAAAGUUGGAUUUUAGCUAUAGAUUCCGUGGGCCCUAUUAAUUGAUCGACGGUGCAUAUUUUUCCCCAAUUAAAGUCAACUUUUAAGCCUUUAAAGGCAUGUUUAGGAAUUUUUUUUUUUUUUUUAACGAGGUGUCAUAGCUUGCGCCAGACUAUAUAUCCUCGUCCCUGAACCUCUGGUCCCUCAGCUGCUCAGGGAGGUAAAUCGCAGGAUGUGCCUUUGUUGGUUCCCAGGUUCCCACAUGGCUUUUACUCCUUCCCCAAAGGAAGCCUCCUCCAUGGUGAUUAAUCCACCAAUAAUUCCUCCUUUAUUGGAUCAAAGGUUCCCACCAGGAAUCGAACUCCCCACGCUUGGUUUCAGAACCCCCCAAUGUGAUUGUUCCGCCAACUUGAAUGUACCCUAGGGGGCAUGUUUAGGAAUUUUAUAUGUCAUUGUAACGUUAUACUUGGCCUCGUUUCGUAGUUAUUUUUUCAAAAUGCACUUUUUUUUUUCAAUCACACAUUCUUUAUUAAAAUAAUAUUACACGUAAAUAAUUUUUUUUUUCUUAUUUUUAAAACCAUACAUUCCAUAUCAAUUUACUAUUAUAAAAUACAUUUUUAUAUAAAAAUGACUAUCAAACACCCCUAGGUUAUAUUUCAUUAUAGGAAAUUUGUGCAAUAUUUUCUAACGUUUGCCUAUUUCAAAGAAUACCCCUAAUUUGUUUAUUUUCGUACGAACUCCCCUAAAUCACUCAAAUGUAACUGGAAUUCGUGUUAAAAAUAAUAAAAAUGACCAAAUUCAAUAAAAUCUUGAAGGGCAUUUCAGUCUCUUCAAAUUCAAACACUCGCCUAAGGUCUCAAUUGUUUGGGAAAUCAGUCGAGAGAGAAACCUACUGGCCAUCUGAACGGAAGAAUCCCACGAUUCAAUCAAAAUGAAGAAAUUGAUAUUAUAAUGGAUGGUGAAAAUUAUUUUAUAAUUUUGUUGUAAUGUGCGCGGUGAAUAGAGGAUAUUGUUUUCUGUGAUUUUUUUUAUGAUGUUAACAGUGAAUGGUGAAAAUUAAACUUUUAAUUAUGUUGUUUUUUUCUGUUAGCGUAUAGCUAUAAUGUAUUUGGUUUCUCAUGCAAUAUUGUAUAAAGACGUGUUAUACUAUAACAUUAAUUUCUUUCUGGUUUCUUGUUUGUUGAUUUCGAAAUUUCAUGCGCGUAUUAAGGAAGAAGAAUAAAAUAUUACAUAUCUAUUAAAAAGGUUGAACCCCAAUCUUAAGGGUCUUCCACCACCCCUACCCUGGAGUAUCGUGAGAGAGGUAAAUCAUAUUACAUAUCUAUUGAUAAAAUGUUUGAAUGCAAAACAACUUUGGAAUUGGUCAAAUUUACAAGAUACAUCCAUAAAAUCAAUAAACUUUGCGAGUACAAUCGUGGAGUAAACUUUUCGAAAUACAAUCAUGACGAUCAAAUACAAAUGUUUGCUAAAUUUGAAUUUUUUUUUUGUCUAUUCUUGGGUUUUCUACACCGCAAUCGUUUGUUGAUUUCCUUUCAAUUGGUUUCUCAAACAAACGAGAGCUUAACUGAGUGUUUAGAUUUGAAGAGUCUGAAAUAAUCUUUGAGGUUUUAUUGAUUUUGACAUUUAGGCUCCGUUUGAUUGUACGAAAUUUUCCAUGUAACUUGGAAUUUGAAUUCCAACUUCCACUUUUGGCCUAUUUGAUCGACAAAAUUUUUCAGGAAAUUGAUUUUCCAUGAAUUUCUAGGUACAACGUCUUAAAGCGUGAUUUUUCACAUUUUAUUUUCCUAGGGGUAGCUGGUUUUUGGUUUUCCACAUUUUUUUUUAAUUGUUGGCAAUGAGAACAAAUUCUAAGAAUAAUUGUAAAAGAGGAUAUCUCUGAAAUUGACAAUUUUCAUGUAAAACAAAGUCAAACAAACACCAAAAUGUAGAUGAUUUUUUGAUCUUUUUUUUCCCUUUUUUUUGGUUGGCAAUGGAAACAAAUUCUAGUAACAAUGGUAGAAGUGGAUAUUCCUUAAAUUGACAAUUUUCAUGUAAAACAAAGUCAAAUAAACACCAAAAAACACUUUUACUUCAACAUUUUCCACGUGAAAAAUUACACCGAUCAAACACAAUAAUUUACAAUUCCCAGUAAAACAAUUUUUAGGUAAUUUAAUUUCCUGGAAUCCAUUUUCUUUCUACUCAAAUUCCAUCUUCGCAAUCAAACAGACCCUUAAAUUAACAGCAGGGAUAUUCAGCAACGUUUGAAUGAUUUGGGGAUUGCACCAAAAUGAACGAUCAGCCAAAUGUGUUCGAUUUAAAGAAUUUUAAUAUUAAAUUAUAUUCAAUAAAAUUUAAAUUAGAUAUGUGAAUUAUUUUGGUUAUGACGUUCAAUCCACUCGAUUGAUAUCACCUCAACUAAUCAACAUGUAAUAUCCGUCAUUGUUUUACAUUUAGUCGCACAUCAUCUUAAUGCUUCCGGUCCGCCCUAUUUAUCUUCUAUUAAACUAUUUAUGCUUUAACAACUCAAAAACUUGGGCAUGAAACGAAUCUAGAAUAAUAAUAACACCUUUUACGAGGAUUAAAUAACAUUAGACGCUACUAAAAAAAGAAGUUAAAUUUUAUUAAUUAUACCGUCAAAUCUUGUAUAACACUAUAUAUAUGACAAAUUUUAUUAAACUUAUGUAUUAUGUUAUCUUAAAAUAUUUAUUUAAUAACCAUAAUCGAACUUAAAUGCUUGAAAUAAUUAUUUUAAUCAAGCUAUUUAUUUAACGACUAAACUAGUACAAGAAGGCAAGAAAAUGGUUGGAUUAACUUUAAUUUUGUUUUAUUUAAGAUGCAGCAGUUUUGUCAUAUUGAUAAUGCAAAGCUCUAGCAAUAAUGUGUGAGGUGCUGAAUUUGUCUAUUUUGAGGUGCUGACAUUUACAUUUGUGCUUAUCCUCUUCUACUUCUUAUCCUCUCUGAAUGGACUGGGCACUUAUCUCGCUCUAAUCUUAACAUAUGCCAAUUAUUUAUUGUUCAAGGUGUUGAUUGGUGACAAUAAGUGUUUUGAAACUUGCAAUUAUUAACAUAAUUAUUGCAAUUUAUUGUUUAAUCUUUUUUUAACACAAGGGUGUCAACUAUCAUGUAACGAUCAUGUCUUGACUAGUCUUGCACAGUUCACCUAGGUAUUGUCUAAUUUUUUUAACACAAGUAUUUCAAUUGUAACUAAUUAUGCAUCGGAUAGUCUUGCAUGACUCUUGUAGGUAAUGUAUAAUUUAUUUUCUUUUUACGCUAAGAUGCCAACUUUCAAUUGGUGGCGCUUGCCAUGCCUCAGCCAGUCUUGCAUGGCUCACCCAGGUUUCAAGCUGCCACUCGAAAUGCAAGCAGGUAGGCCCUAUUUGACAUUUGUAUUCGAAGAUCUUAAUAAUUACCUUGUGAAAGGUAGAAAUAUUUGUGAAAUAUCAACACAAGAACUCUAUUCUAUGUAAGAUGAGAAAAUGGACAUUUUACUUGUUCUUUCUCCAACUUACCCCUUUUUAGCCCUGCAUGGCCCGCUAGUCAGCUCUUUUUUCUCUUUGACAAUCAUAAUUUUCAUAUAGACAAAAACAAUAGAUUAAUGUACUACAAAUCCUCAUAAGUUAUUUUUAAAAAAAAAUAGAAAAUAUUUAUAAAAUUCGUGGGUGGGCCUUAGACUAGAGGCCCUGCACCACCUAAGCCACUAGGUGGGCUCACCCUAGACAAGAACGACCCAGGGCUAAGGGCUGGGCCACCUGCUACGUGAGAUGUCAAACUCACAUAUUUUCUAUAAUGAAUUUUUUAAAGAGUCAGCAUUUUUCAAAAUGUUAAAAUCAAAGGCGUAAAUUUAAUUUCCUAAAUAAAAAUAGUAAAGAGCUCAAUUUUAUCUUGUUAAAGAUCAUGAUAAUAACCUUGUAAUAUUUGUGAAUGAAAACGCUUGUUCUUUAUAAAGUAAGAAAAUAUAUCUCUUUUUUCAUUUUUUUGUCCAAUUCAGUCCUUUUUAAACCGUUCUGUAAUGUACUAAAUAAUCUGCUACUCUUAUGACAAUAAUAAGAAGAAGAAGAAUAAUAAUAAUAAUAAUAAUAAUAAUAAUAAUAAUAAUAAUAAUAAUAAUAAUAAUUUUAUAUGUCCAAAGUGAAUUUUUGGAUUUUUGAAACAUACUUUUCCAGUGGCAUUUUAUUUAUUUGUUUGUUUAUUUUAUUAGGUAGGAACUUGUUCCACGUGGAAAAAAAAUUACAUCUAAGGACCAAAAUCAAAUUUUAACUAAUCGUGAAAUUUCACUACAUGGAGUUUGUUGUUACAAUUUUAUAAAAUUGAAGAGAGAAACUGAAAACUCAAAAGCGCGGAAUAUGGAUAAAGCUAAUGAGAGAUAAAUCAAUGAAUAAUAAGAAAAAAACUCAAGUCACCUGUUUGUACUUGUAUAAAGGAAAAAAAGGUAAAUUUAAAGGUAUUAUAGACAUGACAUCCAAGGUAUGACUUGCCUAAAGGAAAUCACAAUACAACUCGAUCGUAAAACUAUAUUUGAAGUAAUAGAAAUAAAAAUAAAAGCAAGUGAUAACUUGAGCAUAUUACAAAUCUUGAUUAUCUAGCUUAGCUAAUUUACUAUAGUUGAUUCUUGAUUGUGAAUCGAUAUAUCACCAUGACAUGCAGUAGGUGUAGCUUUGAGCAGGUAUUUGGUGCGCCCUGCACUGGUCAGCCACACAUAAUGUUGGUGCUGAGGGCUAACCGGCGGCAAUUGUCUAAAAAAGAUAUGCACAUAAUAUUCCUUUUCUAAUUACUAAUAUGUCAAAUCCACUUCACAAAUGUUAUGAAUAAAUUUAAGGAAAAAUUGCAGUAACAGUUUUUUACCUUUCAUUUUUUUGCAAACUUUACUUCAACAUUCACUUUGUACCGCUAACGGUCCAAAAUCUUUUAAAAAUAUGCAUUUGAGGUUUGAACCGAAUCAACGGUUCUUUUACUGGUAUGGAAAUUGCGUGAACUAUAGGUACUUACUGAACUACUCGUAUAGGGUGCUGUUACUGAUAAUACGCCUCCGCCUUUUACUUGCUGGGUUGAGUGGGAGGCUCUCACACACUCCUAUGUAUGGAUUUCAAGUUCGAUCUUCCCCACCCAGUAUAGAAAACCCCUAACCAUCUUGGGGCGCUCUUGCGCCCUUAAUAGUAAAGGGGGGCCUGAGGUUCUGGAUAUAAAAUUGAGCAACUUGACGUAAUAAAAAAAAACGUAAAUCGAGUUGAGUCAUAAGAUCUAAUUUCAUUCCCAACGGAGGAAAUGUAAUUGUAAAGGUUGGUAGCCUGUGGCUACCUCAGGACACGGAUUACACUGACAGUUAUAGUUAGAAAACAUAUAGCGAUUAAUUGCGCAAAAUAGUCAUUGGAAAUAGUGCCUGAUUGAAUCCUGUCAGUUCCGGGCUUUUAAACUACUUGAUUUAGGAGGUUUCUAUCCAUUUGACCGUUAGAUAAACAAAAAAAUUGAAUUUGGCCAAACUUCGAAAGGCUAAAAUGAUAAUUUUGCUAUUUAUUCUUAUUUAUCCCUGUUAAAAAUUAAAAUAAAAAAUUCAAAAAAUAAAAAUAAAUAUAUAAAUACACCCACCCACGCCCCGCCCACCAAAAUUAAAACAGAGUAACUCUUUUUCCCCGAGGAGACCUUACCAGAAAUUGUCGCCGUCGCCACCUUCGACCCACACCGCCUCCACAACUCCUACUCACCACCAUCCAUUCACUAUUGUUGCCUUCCAGCCCACUGCAAUUUUAAAUCAAACCCAGAAAACUCAUUCCCACACUCGAAAAUCAUUCAAUAAAAAUCUCCGCCAAGCCCACCGUCAAUCUGAAACCAAAAAUCUAAUUCAUCUUUAUCAAAUCCAGAAAUAACAUCCCACACUACUCAAAUCAAAACCAGAAAUCGAAUCAUCUUGCCAUGAUGUUGCACUAAUUUUUCAUUUGGAACCUCUUUAGCGGCAGUAGAUAACCCACCAUCGUCGUCACCAUAACCUCUCUAUACGAGACACACUCAGUUCUUGAACUCUACAGUAGAUUGACUUCUAUUGAGAUUUGGGUUUAGAUGAAGAUUUGAUCCCUAUUUCAAAACCUACUUCUCAACUCGGGUUAGGUGUUUUGGGAAUUUCCUGUCGAUGUUGACAGGUGUUGAAGCCGGGGGUGGGGGUGGGGGUGGGGGUCAGAAGUCGUGCUGGCUGUGGAGGUGCCGACGUUGUGUGGUUGGUGGCAACGAGAUGUCAACCACGUUGUAGGUUGGUUGAGGAAGGAGGAGGAUGAGUGAUGGUGGUUUAUUUUUAAAUAUCAUAAUUGUAUUUUAUUUUCAUUUUGUGGUGGUUUAUUUUUAAAUAUUAUAACUCUAUUUUAUUUUUACUUUGUUUUAAUUAAUUGUUAUAGGGUAUAAAUGAGAUUAUAGCAAA